rnacentral:rRNA from 1 species
GAUGAACGCUGGCGGCGUGCCUAACACAUGCAAGUCGAGCGAAGCGGGGACGGGUGAGUAACACGUGGAUAACCCCCUAUAUGACUGGGAUAACUUCGGUAAACCGGAGCUUAUCCGGAUACCUAUAGUUGGUUCCGCGGUGCAUUAGCUAGUUGGUGAGGUAAUGGCUUAUCAAGGCAACGAUGCAUAGCCGACCUGAGAGGGAGAUCGGCUACACUGAAACUGAGACACGGUCCAGAUUCCAACGGGAGGCAGCAGGAGGGAAACUUCCGCAAUGGGAGAGAGCCUAAGAGAGAAACGCCGCGUGAGUGAUGAAGGUCUUCGGGUCGUAAAACUCUGUUAUUAGGGAGGCGGUACCUGAUCAGAAAGCCACGGCUAACAACGUGCCAGCCGCCGCGGUAAUAC